AGGAGGAAGAGGAGGAGGAGGGGGUGAAGAAGAAGGGAGAGAGGGGUGAAAGAAGAGGCCAGGGGGAGGAGGGAGGCAGUGACCACCCCCACAAGGCCAAGAGGAGAAGUGAUGAAGGGCUAGGACUGAAAGAUGAGCUGGACUUUGAGGCGGAGAGGGAGAGUGGAGAGGAGGAGGGGGAGGAGGGAGAGGAAGGGGAGGAGGGAGAGAAGGGGAAGAGGAAAGUGGAUGCUGAGAAACCGGGAGGACGGGGAGCUGAGUGAUGAUGAUGAUGACGACUCCCUCUUGAGACAGGAGCCCAAGACUGUCUGCAGGUUCUUCAACAAGGGACAGUGUACGUGGGGCACCAACUGUCGCUUCCUGCACCCCGGAGUGUCUGACAAGGGCAACUACAACAUGUUUGCCCCGCCCAAGCCCCAGUCCACCGCUGACAAGGAGGAGGAUAGCGAGCGUGGCAGGCCCAGGGAGGUGCGUCGGUUUAUCCCAGAGCCCUCCCCCUUUGAGUCUGCCUGGGAGAGAGGCCUGCGCUAUGCUAAGGAGAUGAUGAAGCGUGCGAACAAACGGAAGGAAACAGACGCAGACUUUGAGGAGAAGCGUUUCAACCUCAGCUUGGGGCAGGCGGAGCUGGACCGGGAGAAUGACUACUACACUCGGCCCGCCUCCCCAGUGUUCAAACAGCCUGACGAGAUUAUUGACCAGUACCUUGACCCCUAUGAGAAGCAGGCUAUUAGGCACUUCAGAGGAGGUCACUUUGAGAACUUCGAGGUGAGGUACAAUGUUGACCCAAGGUACAACAACAUGAGGGGAGGACACGAGAGGUCACGUCGAGACAAGUUUGAGAGGGAGGUGUCGGAACGCAUUCAAAGAAGACCUCGCACUACCUCUGGGGGCGACGAGAGGUACGCACGGGGGGCGAGUGUGGCAGGACGACCGCUACAUGGAGGUGGCGUCGACAGGGGGCAGCGGCCGUGGGGAGGCAGAGGCUUGGGCGGAUCCCUGGGCCCGGAGGAAGACCCCCCCCUCGCCUCGCUCGCAAGAAGAAGACCUCCCGCACCCGCAGCUACUCCUCAGGCUCCUCCUCCCGCUCCUCCUCUAGCAGCAGUCGUAGCCGCAGUGGGAGCAAGUCUAGCCGCACCAGCAUUGCCAGCCGCAGUAGCCACUCCUCCUCCCACUCCCCAUCACUCUCCCCAGGACCCCGCCGCCCCCCCCAACCCCAGAAUCAAUGCUGGUCGUGCCGGCGAGAAGGGUGGCGUGAGGCAGCCCCCACCCCCAAUGCGUGGCCGCCCCAGCCCCCCUCCUCAGAUGCGUGGCCACCCCAGCCCCCCACCCCCAAUUCGAGGUCGGCCCAGCCCUCCGCCCCCAAUACGAGGCCGCCCCAGCCCCCCACUCAUCCGAGGCAGACCCACCUCUCCCCCAAUGCGUAGCCGCCCCAGCCCCCCUCCCAUCCGUGGCAGACCCACUUCCCCCUCCCAUGCGAGGCCGAGCCAGCCCCCCACCUUCCUCCCGCCAGCCCGUGCCACGGAGACCUGAGGCGAGGGACCCCAGAAUGGACCGCGGGGAGAGGGUGGACCGUUUUGGACGCAUCAGGAAAACCAGUCAUCACAGCUACUCACGCUCCCGGUCCAGAUCUCGCUCCAGGUCCAGAUCUAACUCCAGGCCACCACGCAGACUGGGCCGCACCUUCUCAUCCAGUCGGUCCCGGUCCAGGUCAGCCUCCCGGUCCAGCUCAGCCACGUCCCGGUCCAGAUCAAGGGGCCGCAGCAUCUCCCGGUCCAGGUCCCAUUCCCAUUCCAGGUCCCGCUCCAGGUCCUCCUACUCACGGUCCAGCUCCGCCUCCAGUGUGGAUAGCAGGCGGAGGGCGGUGAAUGACAAGCGGCGCAUGACUCAGGGCACUGUCUCCUAUGGCCAGGCCAAGAGCAAGGCCAUGGAUCCUGUCAAGCUGUCCGGACAGAAGCAGCAGAUCAAGCUCACCCUGAAGGGCCCUGCCCUGAAGCGCCUGGAGAAGCCAGUGCUGCCUCAGGAGGACGACAGUGGUGAGUCAGACACAGGUGGCACCAAGCUGAUCAGGAAACGCAAGGCUGAGAGUCCCCUGCCUGAAGCACCACCUCCCAAGGUCACCCCCCGCAGCCCCCCUGCUGCCCCGGCACCCCCCCCACCCAGCAAGAAGCCUCAGGCCAACAGACGUGAGGAACUCCUCAAGCAACUACGAGCGGUAGAGGAUGCCAUUGCCCGGAAACGCACCAAGCUGCCCACUUAGUGUUGAGGUGACAGCUGGGACAGUCAUGCCAGACAAGAUGCUCAUCACCGCCACCACCACGCCACACCUCAGUGUACAUAGCAAGGACUGGUCGGCAGCGUGCCACUCCCCCACCACCACUGCAGCCUGCCAGCCCCUGGUGCCGCUCCACCAGUCAGGGGCGGCACAACAGGUGGCGGCCAGCAGCUCCUUCACCGGGUGGUGCGGGUGACCUUGACUCUUGUUCCCACUCAUCAGUAAGACGUGUUUCAGUCAUUGACAUUCAUUGUAUCAUGUACCGCAUAGUGACCCUUCCCUAGUGCUGCCUUACUUGAGGUGCUCAGCCCGGUGGCCCUGGCACGCCCCCGCCCCGCCCCGCCCCGCCAGCCGCCACACGCCAGUUCUCAUCCUCAUUUGGCGCCAAGCCUCUCCUCUGUUGUCUCUUCAGGAAAUUUUGGCGAGGGAAAGUGACUGUAGUGUAAUUGCUGUUCUUCCUCUUGCUUGCAAGCGAGCGUUGUCCCCAGCGGCGGUGACAGCCACGCCCGUCGCCCAAGGCCAUGUGCUGUGCAUGUUGCUCUCAUGAAUCAUUCCAGCACAGCAGAGACACAGGAGGGUUGCAACACAGUGACACCCCUGAGUGCACCACAGAGAGGACCUCCCCCACCCACGCCCUUCCUGCCGCGCUGCAUUGCUGUGCUUCCUCCAGUACCCUUCAUCAAGUCGUCGAUGUUCAGGGAUGCACCAGACAGCACGGAGUCUGGGAUGCCGGUAACUCGGCGAGUGAGCAGCGCGUCCACUGCCGCCAUGAGGCGCGGCACCCACCGAGAAGACCGCUGCCCGUCAGCUCGGCAGCAGCAGGAAUGCGAGGGACGGAGUGCGUCGGGUCAUAACGCAGAAACUGAUGUAAGAUUUUGUCUUUCUAAAGUGAGUAAGGCUCAUAAACCUUUUUUGCAUCA